AUCGUCUUCAUCUAUAUAAAUACCAACCCUCCUUUGCUUUCCACUUCAUUCCAUUCCACCUUAUAAACUUACUCAUAGGUUUCGCUUUAUCAGUUUUCUGAGAACUUGGUUGGCAACAGAAGGAGAAGAAGAAGCAAUCGAAAUUCAAAUGGAGGCAAUUCAGUCCUGGGUUUCAGAACACAAGCUUACAAGCAUUGGAGGAAUAUGGGCGUCAGCAGUUGGAGCAUCUCUAGCCUAUUCACGAACAAGAACACCCCUCAAGCCAAGCCUGAGGCUUAUACAUGCUAGGAUGCACGCACAGGCCUUGACCCUGGCUGUCCUAUCUGGUGCAGCAGUCUACCAUUACUAUGAGGAGCAUUAAGCAGCUGCCCGCCACCAUGGAGAAAACUAAUGCUUCUCCAAUAAGCACCUGCCUAAGUCAGUGCUCCAUUGCAUAAUUCGACCAUUUCUACUAUUAAGUUGAUCUUAAUUACUUAAGAGUUAAUCUGAACAUUAAUGUGUACGUUGUCUCUUAAUCAAUAUUCUAUCUUAGUUUCUUUAUUUCACUUUUAUUAGUUGCUGUACUGUACACCAUAUAUAUAAGGAGGCUUGGUUUAUCUACGUA